GAUUAGGUAGUUGUUGGGGUAACGGCCCAACAAGCCUUNGNUCGGUACGGGUUGUGGGAGCAGGAGCCCGGAGAUGGAUUCUGAGACACGAAUCCAGGCCCUACGGGGCGCAGCAGGCGCGAAAACUUUACAAUGCGAGAAAUCGUGAUAAGGGAACCCCGAGUGCCCGUAAAUUCGGGCUGUCCAUCAGUGUAAAAAACUGGUGAAGAAAGGGCCGGGCAAGACCGGUGCCAGCCGCCCGGUAAUACCGGCGGCUCGAGUGGUGGCCACUAUUACUGGGCUUAAAGCGUCCGUAGCUUGGUUGUUAAGUCUCCUGGGAAAUCCAUCGGCUCAACCGAUGGGCGUUCGGGGGAUACUGGCAACCUAGGGACCGGGAGAGGUGAGAGGUACUCCAGGGGUAGGAGUGAAAUCCUGUAAUCCUUGGGGGACCACCUGUGGCGAAGGCGUCUCACUAGAACGGCUCCGACAGUGAGGGACGAAAGCUGGGGGAGCAAACCGGAUUAGAUACCCGGGUAGUCCCAGCCGUAAACGAUGCGCGUUAGGUGUAUCGGUGACCACGAGUC
rnacentral:rRNA from 1 species